UUUCAAAACGCGAUGUUCACUACUCACAAACCGCGGUUUGUCUGGCGUUUCCCCGUAUUAUAAAAGGAUUGACACCAACAAUACCAUCGCAAAUUGCAGUCCGAGUCCAUUUUAGACGAGCUACGAUGAUAACGUGUAAGGAACCACUUAUCGACCUGUCUCUAUUUUUCCAACUGUGAGAUAAAAAUUCAAAAUCUUUUAUUGCCAAUAAUACUUUUUUUAGCAAAAGCACGACUAGCUUUUUGAAAACCAAUUUGGCUUCAGAACGUGAAAAUUUAAAAAAGAGAAGCAGUGGUGAGUCUGGUCAAAGGGAUUAGAGUGUCAGAAUCCCACCAUACACGUCUUAAGACAAGUACUGCUCAAGUCAGCUACAGAUGGAUUACGGUGUGAUGUAAGCAUACCUUUCCUACGGAGAGAUUUUGUGGAGAGCAUUUUGUAGAAAACACAACCAAAUUUUGAGUUUUCAAGCUUAAACAAAAGUAAUCAGAAAAUAGUCAACAUCAACUUCAGAGGGUCGUGCCAACUAGGUUUAAAAAAAUUGCAUCUGUUGACUCGAUCAUGUCUAUACAUUUUGGAAGCAGGUUUAUUCUGCAUAUCAAAAUGUGGCCUGACUAGAGGCCGAGACGUACAUAGACCAUCCUACAUAGUAGGAUCUAAGACAUUUUAUAGCAUCCAUAAGUUUUUAGAUUAUAGUUGGGAAAUCUAAAAUAUAGGUGGAGAGAUUUGGUGAAUAAGCAGUAUGCAUCAAUGAUAAGAUUGUAUGUCUGAAGGUAGUACUGUGAACGUAUGUAAAAAUGUAUAGGUUCAUCCGGUUUGAAUUUUGCCAUAUAUCUGUUACGUUUCCAUGGAAUUUGACUUUGACUUUUGAAUUGUUAAAAGUUUUAAGGCAA